rnacentral:rRNA from 1 species
ACAGAGGUCCCAAGCGUUGUUCGGAUUCACUGGGCGUAAAGGGUGCGUAGGCGGUCGGGUAAGUCAGACGUGAAAUCCCUCGGCUCAACCGGGGAACUGCGUCUGAUACUGGGUGGCUUGAAUUCGGGAGAGGGAUGCGGAAUUCCAGGUGUAGCGGUGAAAUGCGUAGAUAUCUGGAGGAACACCGGUGGCGAAGGCGGCAUCCUGGACCGAGAUUGACGCUGAGGCGCGAAAGCUAGGGGAGCGAACGGGA